rnacentral:rRNA from 1 species
UGAAUCCUUCAGGUGGACUCAAGACUGCAAUCGCGUGUCGCCCUUAGAGUUUGAUCCUGGCUCAGGACAAACGCUGGCGGCGUGCGUAAAACAUGCAAGUCGAACGGACCCUUCGGGGUCAGUGGCAGACGGCUGAGUAACACGUAAGCGACCUACCCGGAAGUGGGGAAUAACUGCUCGAAAGAGUGGCUAAUACCGCAUGAGCCCCCCCGUUCGCUCGGGGGGGGAAAGCCGUAAGGCGCCUCCGGAUGGGCUUGCGGCCGAUUAGCUAGUUGGCGGGGUAAAGGCCCACCAAGGCGAUGAUCGGUAGCUGGUCUGAGAGGAUGAUCAGCCAGACUGGGACUGGGACACGGCCCAGACUCCUACGGGAGGCAGCAGUUAGGGAUCUUGCGCAAUGGCCGAAAGGCUGACGCAGCAACGCCGCGUGGGGGAAGAAGGCCUUCGGGUCGUAAACCCCUUUUCUGGGGGAAGAUAAUGACGGUACCCCAGGAAUAAGCCCCGGCUAACUACGUGCCAGCAGCCGCGGUAAUACGUAGGGGGCGAGCGUUGUCCGGAUUUAUUGGGCGUAAAGAGCGCGUAGGCGGUUUGUCGCGUCUGCUGUGAAAAUCCGGGGCUCAACCCCGGACUUGCAGUGGGUACGGGCAGACUAGAGUGUGGUAGGGGAGACUGGAAUUCCUGGUGUAGCGGUGAAAUGCGCAGAUAUCAGGAGGAACACCGAUGGCGAAGGCAGGUCUCUGGGCCACUACUGACGCUGAGAAGCGAAAGCAUGGGGAGCGAACAGGAUUAGAUACCCUGGUAGUCCAUGCCGUAAACGUUGGGCGCUAGGUGUGGGACUCAUUCCACGAGUUCCGUGCCGCAGCUAACGCAUUAAGCACCCCGCCUGGGGAGUACGGCCGCAAGGCUAAAACUCAAAGGAAUUGACGGGGGCCCGCACAAGCAGCGGAGCGUGUGGUUUAAUUCGAUGCAACGCGAAGAACCUUACCCAGGCUUGACAUGCACCCGAAAGCCCCGGAAACGGGGCCCCGCAAGGCGGGUGCACAGAUGCUGCAUGGCUGUCGUCAGCUCGUGUCGUGAGAUGUUGGGUUAAGUCCCGCAACGAGCGCAACCCUCGCUGCCAGUUGAUUACUCUGGCGGGACCGCCGGGACAAACCCGGAGGAAGGUGGGGAUGACGUCAAGUCAGCACGGCUCUUACGCCUGGGGCUACACACACGCUACAAUGGCCGGUACAGAGGGUUGCCAAGCCGCGAGGCGGAGCAAAUCCCAAAAAGCCGGUCUCAGUUCGGAUUGCAGGCUGCAACUCGCCUGCAUGAAGUCGGAGUUGCUAGUAACCGCAGGUCAGCACACUGCGGUGAAUACGUUCCCGGGCCUUGUACACACCGCCCGUCACGUCAUGAAAGUUGGAUACGCCUGAAGCCGGUGGGCCAACCGCAAGGGGGCAGCCGUCGAGGGUGGAGUCAGCGAUUGGGACGAAGUCGUAACAAGGUAACCAAGGGCGACACGCGAUUGCAGUGUAACACGAGUGAUCCUGAGUU